UCCUGGAGAGAGACAGGGAGAGAGGAGAAUCCCCAGAUCCGUCAGUGCUGUUACCCCACCGUCAAAGCUUCACUGGCUAGCGAUUAUUAAAUUAAUUGUAUUCCUAUGAAUUUCGUCAUCAAUUUGGGGUUCUGAUUUUUAUUUCGUUCCGGAUGGAAAGAUACGGGAUAUUGGAUGAUGACAAUGGCGAAGUGGAAUUUGAAUCCAGAUUAAUGGUGGCAUCAUCACCGUCGUCGAGAUCACUGCCGAUUUCUAGCUCGCCGUCCGAUGACGCCGGGAUCGGCGGGUACAGUUACAUAAUACACACCGUUAGCAAAUACGACACUCUCGCCGGCGUCGCCAUAAAAUACGGUGUCGAGGUGGCAGAUAUUAAGAGGUUAAAUGGACUGGUGACUGAUAUUCAAAUGUUUGCUUUCAAGACCCCUAAAAUACCAUUGCCAGGAAAGCAUCCCAUAUCCCCCACCUUGUGCAAUGGCCAAGAGACUCAAUGACCAAGCAGCUCCGAGCAGGACCCAUCCAGCCGUCGACAAUCUGAUUUAUUUGAUUCGUUUCAGUCUUUAAAAUUAAGUUCUUCAGAGCAUCAUAAAGUCUCACCAGCCAUGAACAGCUUACGGGGUUAUUAUGGUCUCAGACAACCAGAUGAAAAGGCUUCCUUCGAAGGUUUAGAGCGGAAUGGAAGAGCUAACUAUCUUGAGGAUGGGUCAUUUUACACACAUUCAAAACAUCCAUUGAGCCAUCAAAGAAAAUCGAGAAGUGUUGCUAAUAAUUUAAUGUAUGCAAAUGGUGGGCCUGCAUAAUUCACUCUUGUCACCAGAAUCUGAAGAUAAUUGCACUAACAAAUGGAUUGAGAAGCUUUUAGGGAGGCGGCAAAAGUCUGAAACCGAACUAGCAUCUUGUCCCCCAGAAAAGCUUCGUAAGGAGGAAAGCAGCAGUAACAGUGGCAUUUCAAGCGGAGGCUUGGCUCUCAGGUCCAAUGCAGCCACCAGAGCUUUUUAAGGCAGAGUAGAUGCUGACUCGAGUUGGCUGAAUCCAAUUUCUAUAAAUUUGGGGGAAUCACCUCAAACUGACUCUGUCACUGUAAUACGGAAGUCAUCAAGUACAUUGAGUUUGAUGGAUACAGAUAUUAGUGCAUUAUCAUCUCUAUGGGAAACAUCCAAGUGGAGUUUGAAGCCAGAUUUCCAGGCUCUCUCUUCUGCUGCCUUGCCUAUCUUUGAUGGUCUGCCUAAGCCAAUUAGCCGGAAAAACAAAGCUGCGCUCGAUUAGUGAGUCCAUUCAUCACUCUAUUAUUUCAUCCACCGUGCAGAAGCUUUUGCUGAACGCUGAGAUAGGUAAAGAUGAAUUUGAUGUGAACAAAUAUAAAUGCUUACGGCCAUCAGCUACGAAUCUGUAGCAGUUUUGGUAAAAUGAUACUCGAGUCGCCACUCUGAUGGUGUUGAAGAAAAGUUGAUCUUCAUUCACCUUUGGAAUGGGGAGAACAGAAAUGGCUUAUUUUGCUGUGCUUUUGGAGAAUUGCUGCAGCAUGUGUACAUUCUUUUAUUGAACAUUCAUAGAUAGCGUGUAGUAUAUUGGAUUGGAUAAGUCACCUAUAUUUUUAUGACAAGAAGGAGAAAAUAAAUUAUAUUUGUACUUGCACAUAUUUAUAUAGGGAUGUAUUCAGAUUAAUGUAUAAAAACUUGUUAAAAAUUAA